UGGAAGAAUAUAAGAAAAUCUUAGUAUGCCUAUCAUUUUUUAGUGAUGUUCUGCCAAGGAUGGCAGAACAAGGAUUCACGAGCCAUGGAAGGCUCGUUGAAUGCCGGUCACGUCAUGAUGAAACAGUUUUCGUUAAGCAUACUUAGGUUUUCUUAUAUUCGAAC
rnacentral:ncRNA from 1 species